rnacentral:tRNA from 2 species
AAGGCUUUAGCUUAAUUAGAGUGCCUGUUUUGCAUGCAGGAGGUGUGGGGUAACAUCCCGCAAGUCUUA